GACGAACGCUGGCGGCGUGCUUAACACAUGCAAGUCGAACGGUAAGGCCCUUCGGGGUACACGAGUGGCGAACGGGUGAGUAACACGUGGGUGAUCUGCCCUGCACUUCGGGAUAAGCCUGGGAAACUGGGUCUAAUACCGGAUAGGACUCCGGACUGCAUGGUCUGGGGUGGAAAGCUUUUGCGGUGUGGGAUGGGCCCGCGGCCUAUCAGCUUGUUGGUGGGGUGACGGCCUACCAAGGCGACGACGGGUAGCCGGCCUGGGAGGGUGACCGGCCACACUGGGACUGGGAUACGGCCCAGACUCCUACGGGAGGCAGCAGUGGGGAAUAUUGCACAAUGGGCUCAAGCCUGAUGCAGCGACGCCGCGUGAGGGAUGACGGCCUUCGGGUUGUAAACCUCUUUCAGCAUCGACGAAGCGAAAGUGACGGUAGGUGCAGAAGAAGGACCGGCCAACUACGUGCCAGCAGCCGCAGUAA
rnacentral:rRNA from 1 species